rnacentral:rRNA from 1 species
CCUACGGGAGGCAGCAGUGAGGAAUAUUGGUCAAUGGCCGGAAGGCUGAACCAGCCAAGCCGCGUGAAGGAAGACGGUGCUAUGCAUUGUAAACUUCUUUUGUCAGGGGACAAAAUCAGGCACGAGAGCCUGUCCGAGGGUACCUGACGAAAAAGCAUCGGCUAACUCCGUGCCAGCAGCCGCGGUAAUACGGAGGAUGCGAGCGUUAUCCGGAUUUAUUGGGUUUAAAGGGUGCGUAGGCGGACGGUUAAGUAGGCGGUAAAAUCCCGGGGCUCAACCCGGGCGUGCCGUUGAAACUGGGUGGCUAGAGAGGACGUGCGGUAGGCGGAAUGCGCGGUGUAGCGGUGAAAUGCUUAGAGAU